CCAUCAACCACGCUCACCACCUAAUCCGCCACCCCAGUUCCCAAACCACAUUUGUAAGUCCAAGCAAUAAGCAAGCCUGCUAAAGAGAUUUAAGGUGUUAAAGAUUUCUUUUAUAGAGUUUUUAACUCACAUCCUCAUGUUAUACCAGCGAUGUGGGACGCUCAACUUGUAAAACACUUCCUCUUUGUUUCUUCCCACCCUCUGCUCAUCUCCAUAUACUGUUGCGCUACCGCUACCAACUUGCCAAGGUAGAUUUUUUGGAGGAAGAACAAGAAAAUAACAACAAUGGUGGAGCAAACCAAGGGUAAAAAAGAAGAGGUUGUUACUCGUGAGUCGUGAAUACACUAUGAACAUUCAAAAACAUCUUCAUGAAUGGACCUUUAAAAUUUGAGAAGAAGGCACCAAAAGUCAUUAAGAAACAAUGGAAGGCAAUGGGAACUGACAUUUGAGGAGACGCCAAGCUUUACCAGCAAAUUUAGAGCAGAGGAUCCGUGUUUGCAUAGAGAGUAAAAGAAAUGAUGAUGACGAGAGGAUGCCAAGGAGGAGCUCCACUCUCUGGUGAAUGUAGCUCCCAUUUAUGCAGAAGCUUUGAAGAGUCAAAGGUAUUGGUACUGAAAUCAGGUUAUUGAAGAUGAAGAUUAUAUUAGCAAAAAAAGUUUUGAGUCAACGGUACUAGAUAGUUUUGCUUUGUUCCUUUUUAAUAUUUUUCUUAAUAUUAGUAAAAGUUUCAUGUGAUUUGAAGCACUAAGGUACUGCACGAAUUUUGAUUAUGUUUUGUACUAACAAUUAAGAACACCUAUCUUUCAAGUUUAAAACAACUUAAUAGUUGAAAAUAUUAUGAAUACUAACAUGGUUGCUUUUAA